AUCUACAAACCAGUCGCUAAAACUCAACGAUUUGCACAAUACCAGUAUGAUCUAAACUGUCUUGUGAUAUCUACGCCUUAUUCAUAGUUUUACCGGAUUUAUCUUUGGUAAACGUGCAUGAGAUCAGCUCGUUAUUCGAGCGGUGGGACCCCAUGUGCUUUGAAGCGGCGGUCACGGUGGAAGUGCAGCGACUCCCCUCGCAGAUGUUGCCGUGGCCUCCCAAGCAAUUGCGGGGGAGGAACAAGUUCACCAAGAGCUCCUCCAUGUCUUUUGUGUCCCCCGUCUUGCAGAAACAUACGGGAGGUGAAGCAUUCCCUCGCAGAGAAGCAGGAGGCGAGUAAGAUGCAGGCAUAAGGUCCGCCAAGGCUGGCGGGUCAGGGCCGGGGGUCGCCGGGGGUCAGACGGACAUCACACGCCAUCAAGGGAACUGCAUACUGUAAUGAAGGUGUAAGCAAGCCUGCAGGGAGAUGAGGAAGAAAAGAAAGGAUUCGUCGCUCUCGAGUCAAAAAGGGCGGAUGAACCCGUGAAACGCAGCUGCUUGAAGAUCCGAGUUUGGCGUCUCAUGAGCAUGCGAGUGAACCCUGACCUCAAGGAGCCAGAGGGUGCACCUGGCAGCAGGGUCUG